GUGUUGGUGGUGAGGUUUAAUGUCUCUUCCUUGA
rnacentral:tRNA from 1 species